rnacentral:rRNA from 1 species
GACGAACGCUGGCGGCGUGCUUAACACAUGCAAGUCGAACGGAAAGGCCCUGCUUUUGUGGGGUGCUCGAGUGCCGAACGGGUGAGUAACACGUGUGUAACCUGCCCUUGUCUUUGGGGUAACUUCAGGAAACUGGGGCUAAUAUCGGAUAGGAUCUCCUGCUGCAUGGUGGGGGGUGGAAAGUUUCGGCGUUUGGGGAUGGACUCGCGGCUUACCAGCUUGUUGGUGGGGUAGGGGCUUACCAAGGCUUUGACGGGUAGGCGGCCUGAGAGGGUGACCGGCGACAUUGGGACUGAGGUACGGCCCAGACUGCAACGGGAGGCAGCAGGGGGGAGUAUGGCACAGUGGGCGGGAGCGUGAUACAGCGGCGCCGGGUGCGGGAAGACGGCCUUCGGGGUGUGAACCGCUGUCGCCUGUGACGAAGCGUGAGUGACGGUAAUGGAUAAAGAAGCACCGGCUAACUACGUG